rnacentral:rRNA from 1 species
GCCCAGACUCCUACGGGAGGCAGCAGUGGGGAAUAUUGCACAAUGGGGGAAACCCUGAUGCAGCGACGCCGCGUGAGCGAUGAAGUAUUUCGGUAUGUAAAGCUCUAUCAGCAGGGAAGAAAAUGACGGUACCUGACUAAGAAGCCCCGGCUAACUACGUGCCAGCAGCCGCGGUAAUACGUAGGGGGCAAGCGUUAUCCGGAUUUACUGGGUGUAAAGGGAGCGUAGACGGCAAUGCAAGCCAGAUGUGAAAGCCCGGGGCUCAACCCCGGGACUGCAUUUGGAACUGUGUAGCUGGAGUGUCGGAGAGGCAGGCGGAAUUCCUAGUGUAGCGGUGAAAUGCGUAGAUAUCAGGAGGAACACCGGUGGCGAAGGCGGCCUGCUGGACUGCGACUGACGUUGAGGCCCGAAAGCGUGGGGAGCAAACAGGAUUAGAUACCCCUGUA